UCUGUCUCCCUCUCUGUCUGCCUCUUCCCCACUCUUUCUCUCUCAACAAUAAGUAAACAUUAAAAAAUCUAACAAAAGCUAUCUAUGACUUCUACACUGAAAACUAGGAAACAUUGUGUACACAAGUUUAAAAGAAGACCUGAGUAAAUGGAAGAAGGAAAUACUAUAUUCACUGAAUGGGAGCAUUAAAAAAUUACAGAGUAUCAGUUUGUCUCAGUUUAAAAUGAGCUGCAGAAUUCAGCUGAAUUGGCCCUCUUUGUCUUUGCUGUCAUCAGCCUCUUCUUGAGUCCUAAAAAAGUGGGAGUGAGGAGAAGGCGGAACAGAAGAUGAUGAAAUGGGAAAUCCAUUUGUGAAGUCUAUUUGAAGAAAUGCAAGACAGGGGCACCUGGGUGACUCAGUCGUUUGAGCGUCUAACUUCAGCUCAUGAUGUCCCGGUCCGUGACUUCAAGGCCCGCAUUGGGCUCUGGGCUGACAGCUCAGAGCCUGGAGCCUGCCUUGGAUUCUGUGUCUCCCUCUCUCUCUCUCUGCCCCUUCCCCGUUCACACUCUGUCUCU